rnacentral:rRNA from 1 species
AUUGAACGCUGGCGGCACGCCUAACACAUGCAAGUCGAACGGGGCAGCAAUGCCUAGUGGCGGACGGGUGAGGAAUACGUAGGAAUCUGCCCUUAAGUGGGGGAUAACCAGGGGAAACCCUGACUAAUACCGCAUGAUCUCUUCGGAGCAAAGAGGGGGACCGCAAGGCCUCUCGCUUCUGGAUGAGCCUACGUCUGAUUAGCUAGUUGGUAGGGUAAAGGCCUACCAAGGCGACGAUCAGUAACUGGUCUGAGAGGAUGAUCAGUCACACCGGAACUGAGACACGGUCCGGACUCCUACGGGAGGCAGCAGUGGGGAAUAUUGGACAAUGGGCGCAAGCCUGAUCCAGCAAUGCCGCGUGUGUGAAGAAGGCCUUCGGGUUGUAAAGCACUUUAGCCUGGAAAGAAAAAACUUUGGUUAACACCCAAAGUCUUGACGGUACCAGGAGAAUAAGCACCGGCUAACUCUGUGCCAGCAGCCGCCGUAAAAC